GACAGAGGGGGCAAGCGUUGCUCGGAAUUACUGGGCGUAAAGGGCGCGUAGGCGGAAUGGCAAGUCGGUCGUGAAAUCCUUCGGCUCAACCGAAGAACGUCGAUCGAAACUGCCGUUCUUGAGGAUUGCAGAGGAGACUGGAAUUCCCGGUGUAGCGGUGAAAUGUGCAGAGAUCGGGAGGAACACCGGUGGCGAAGGCGGCAUCCUGGACCAUGACUGACGCUGAGGAGCGAAAGCCAGGGGAGCAAACGGG
rnacentral:rRNA from 1 species